rnacentral:rRNA from 1 species
UGGCGCUGGUCGCCCGCGGCGAUUCAUUUCGUUUGCGGUGUCGUUCCCGGCGAUCACUCGGCUAUGUGGCGUUUACCCGGCACCGGAGGAGUGCACUUCCCCCCUAGUAGAAACGUCGCGACCCGUUGGGUGCCGGUCUGGGGCCCAGGAUGGCAGCCCACGUGUCCUGUGGGGGCUCUCACAGGCAUGUGGACUCUUGGUGACCUGGCCGGCUGCCCGAUGGUAUGACCAGAGGAGUCGAUCCGCUGCAAGUGAAACACUUUGGUUGUGUAGCGUCCGGCCUGUCGCCGAUGCGUGCAGGGAUUGAGGUGUAAACCGGGGGUGCCCGUGCGAAGCACGGCCCCGGCCCUGCUGCGUUUUCGGACUUUGGUGUCCUCGGACUGGAUCAAUACUCCUGUCUGCGACGCCCACCUUCGGAUGGUCUCCCG